AUUUUUUUUUAAAUUUUAAAAUCUUUAAUUCUUACAUGCGUUCCUGUCUUUUCUUUCUUAUUGAAAGCUCAUCUUUCUUUUCUUAUAAAAAAAUUUUAGAAUAACUUAUUUCAAAAAAUUUAAGUUGCAAACUUUGACUCUUCACUCUUGUUUAGUUAGAUAGUCCUGACAAGCCCCCAGGUGGUCUCACUCACCACCUCUGAUGGGGCUGUUGGUCUGGCCCAUUGGUUCUCCUCCAUAUACCUCUUCAGCAAACUAGCUUGGAUUUCCUCACAGGCACCUGGGUUCCAAAGGAAUGAUAGUGGAAGCUGCAAGAUCUCUUGAAUUCUAGCUUGGAGUCCGACGACAUGACUGCACCACACUGGUCAAAGCAAGUCACACGCUGGCCCAGAGUAGAAGAGUGAGGAAAUAACUAUAACUUUCGAUGGGAGAAGCUGCAAAAAAUCUUUAAAAAUCUGCUGCCAUUUUAAAUUCACAACAGUAUCUAAACACAUCAGUGUGUUUCUCUUAAGAACAAGAAAACUCUCCUGGAUUACACAUGGAUUACAUAACACUGUGAAAUGCUGAAGCGGGGCCUUCCCGCCCCGCUGCCUGGCCUCCUAGCAGGAAAGCUGCAUCUGAACAUCUUAGGGUUGGGAGACAGCAGACGGUCUCUGGCAGGGGAGGCCUGAUUGUGAGAAGACAGAGGCAGAGAGAUGACGACAAAGAUGCUGGAUCAAGCUGCACCUGAAACCAUACACCAAAAGGUCACAUGAAACUCCCUUCCCACUAGCACCAGCUCCUCGUUUUUCUUAAAGAAGUAAUUUCCAACUGAAAGCAUCUUAGCCUCUCUAAGUACCAUUAUGGAUUAAGAAGGAUUAGGACUUUCUCCUCCAUCCAUUCACAGGCUUUGAUGUGUGGACCCUGGGACUGGCACUGCUGGCCCUAGGAUAAAUUACAUCCUCAGUUGGGGCCUCAGUCAGAUGAGGGGGCAGACUUAAGACAAAUUCACACUGCCCUGUGCUGAGUUUUCUGGCAAGUUUGAUUAGGGAAGAACUGACUCAGAGAGGGCUUCCCAGAGGAGGUGACAUGUGCCUUGAACUUGAGGGGAGGAUAGCAUUUCGUCCAAGAGAAGAGAGCAUGUGGGCACA
rnacentral:lncRNA from 1 species